CCUACGGGGUGCAGCAGUGGGGAAUAUUGGACAAUGGGCGAAAGCCUGAUCCAGCCAUGCCGCGUGUGUGAAGAAGGCCUUCGGGUUGUAAAGCACUUUCAGUGGGGAAGAAAGCCUUGGGGCUAAUACCCUCGAGGAAGGACAUCACCCACAGAAGAAGCACCGGCUAACUCCGUGCCAGCAGCCGCGGUAAUACGGAGGGUGCGAGCGUUAAUCGGAAUUACUGGGCGUAAAGCGCGCGUAGGCGGUCUGAUAAGCCGGUUGUGAAAGCCCCGGGCUCAACCUGGGAACGGCAUCCGGAACUGUCAAGCUAGAGUGCAGGAGAGGAAGGUAGAAUUCCCGGUGUAGCGGUGAAAUGCGUAGAGAUCGGGAGGAAUACCAGUGGCGAAGGCGGCCUUCUGGACUGACACUGACGCUGAGGUGCGAAAGCGUGGGUAGCAAACAGGAUUAGAUACCCUGGUAGUC
rnacentral:rRNA from 1 species